rnacentral:tRNA from 1 species
GGAGGGGACAGCUCAGUGGCAGAGCUCAUGCUUUAGAAUGCAUGAGGUCCUGGGUUCAAUCCCCAGUACUUCCA